AACGAACGCUGGCGGCAUGCCUAACACAUGCAAGUCGAACGAGACCUUCGGGUCUAGUGGCGCACGGGUGCGUAACGCGUGGGAACCUGCCCUUAGGUUCGGAAUAACUCCCCGAAAGGGGUGCUAAUACCGGAUAAUGUCUUCGGACCAAAGAUUUAUCGCCUUUGGAUGGGCCCGCGUUGGAUUAGCUAGUUGGUAGGGUAAAAGCCUACCAAGGCGACGAUCCAUAGCUGGUCUGAGAGGAUGAUCAGCCACACUGGGACUGAGACACGGCCCAGACUCCUACGUGAGGCAGCAGUGGGGAAUAUUGGACAAUGGGCGAAAGCCUGAUCCAGCAAUGCCGCGUGAGUGAUGAAGGCCUUAGGGUUGUAAAGCUCUUUUAACCGGGAUGAUAAUGACAGUACCGGGAGAAUAAGCUCCGGCUAACUCCGUG
rnacentral:rRNA from 1 species